AGUGAACGCUGGCGGCAGGCCUAACACAUGCAAGUCGAGCGGCAGCGCGGGGGCAACCCUGGCGGCGAGCGGCGGACGGGUGAGGAAUUCGUCGGAAUCUGCCUUUUUGUGGGGGAUAACGUAGGGAAACUUACGCUAAUACCGCAUACGUCCUACGGGAGAAAGUGGGGGACCGCAAGGCCUCACGCAGAAAGAUGAGCCGACGACCGAUUAGCUAGUUGGUGGGGUAAAGGCCCACCAAGGCGACGAUCGGUAGCUGGUCUGAGAGGAUGAUCAGCCACACUGGGACUGAGACACGGCCCAGACUCCUACGGGAGGCAGCAGUGGGGAAUAUUGGACAAUGGGCGCAAGCCUGAUCCAGCCAUGCCGCGUGUGUGAAGAAGGCCUUCGGGUUGUAAAGCACUUUUGUCCGGAAAGAAAUCCCUGGAGCUAAUACCUUCGGGGGAUGACGGUACCGGAAGAAUAAGCACUGGCUAACUUCGUG
rnacentral:rRNA from 1 species